UACGGAGGGUGCAAGCGUUAUCCGGAUUCACUGGGUUUAAAGGGUGCGUAGGAGGGCAGGGAAGUCCGUGGUGAAAUCUCCGAGCUUAACUCGGAAACUGCCGUGGAUACUCUCUGUCUUGAAUCCCGUGGAGAUGAGCGGAAUAUGUCAUGUAGCGGUGAAAUGCUUAGAUAUGACAUAGAACACCAAUUGCGAAGGCAGCUCGUUACACGAAGAUUGACUCUGAGGCACGAAAGCGUGGGGAUCAAACAGG
rnacentral:rRNA from 3 species